rnacentral:rRNA from 1 species
UGCCGCGUGCAGGAAGACUGCCCUAUGGGUUGUAAACCGCUUUUAUAUAGAAAGAAACCUUGGUACGUGUACCAAGCUGACGGUACUAUAAGAAUAAGGAUCGGCUAACUCCGUGCCAGCAGCCGCGGUAAUACGGAGGAUCCAAGCGUUAUCCGGAAUCAUUGGGUUUAAAGGGUCCGUAGGUGGAUAAUUAAGUCAGAGGUGAAAUCUUGCAGCUCAACUGUAAAAUUGCCUUUGAUACUGGUUAUCUUGAGUUAUUAUGAAGUAGUUAGAAUAUGUAGUGUAGCGGUGAAAUGCAUAGAUAUUACAUAGAAUACCAAUUGCGAAGGCAGAUUACUAAUAAUCAACUGACACUGAUGGACGAAAGCGUGGGUAGCGAACAGGAUUAGAUACCCUGGUAGUCCACGCCGUAAACGAUGGUUACUAGCUGUUUGGACCUUGUGUCUGAGUGGCUAAGCGAAAGUGAUAAGUAACCCACCUGGGGAGUACGUCUGCAAGAAUGAAACUCAAAGGAAUUGACGGGGGCCCGCACAAGCGGUGGAGCAUGUGGUUUAAUUCGAUGAUACGCGAGGAACCUUACCAGGGCUUAAAUGUAAGUUGCAUUAGUUAGAGAUAGCUAUUUCUUCGGACCACUUACAAGGUGCUGCAUGGUUGUCGUCAGCUCGUGCCGUGAGGUGUCAGGUUAAGUCCUAUAACGAGCGCAACCCCUGUUGUUAGUUGCCAGCGAGUCAUGUCGGGAACUCUAACAAGACUGCCAGUGCAAACUGUGAGGAAGGUGGGGAUGACGUCAAAUCAUCACGGCCCUUACGUCCUGGGCUACACACGUGCUACAAUGGUCGGUACAGAGAGCAGCCACUACGCGAGUAGGAGCGAAUCUUAAAAGCCGAUCACAGUUCGGAUCGGAGUCUGCAACUCGACUCCGUGAAGCUGGAAUCGCUAGUAAUCGGAUAUCAGCCAUGAUCCGGUGAAUACGUUCCCGGGCCUUGUACACACCGCCCGUCAAGCCAUGGAAGUUGGGAGUGCCUGAAGUCCGUUACCGUAAGGAGCGGCCUAGGGUAAAAUCGAUAACUAGGGCUAAGUCGUAACAAGGUAGCCGUACCGGAAGGUGCGGCUGGAACACCUCCUUUCU